rnacentral:misc_RNA from 1 species
AACGGUCUAUACCUGCGGUACCUGCGGAGGGAUCAUUACAAUAGGGGGCUCUGCUCCUUAAGAAGACACCCUUGAUUUUUGAGCACCUCUGUUUCCUCGGCGGGUCCGCCCGCCAAUGGGGACCCCUCAAAACCCUUCUGUAAUAGCAGUACCUUCUGAUAAACAAAGCAAAAGUCAAAACUUUCAGCAACGGAUCUCU